GGAUAGUGGCGACGGGUGAGUAACACGUGAGCAAUCUGCCCCUGACUCUGGGAUAAGCGCUGGAAACGGCGUCUAAUACCGGAUACGAGCUGCGAUCGCAUGGUCAGUAGCUGGAAAGAAUUUCGGUCAGGGAUGAGCUCGCGGCCUAUCAGCUUGUUGGUGAGGUAAUGGCUCACCAAGGCGUCGACGGGUAGCCGGCCUGAGAGGGUGACCGGCCACACUGGGACUGAGACACGGCCCAGACUCCUACGGGAGGCAGCAGUGGGGAAUAUUGCACAAUGGGCGGAAGCCUGAUGCAGCAACGCCGCGUGAGGGAUGACGGCCUUCGGGUUGUAAACCUCUUUUAGCAGGGAAGAAGCGAAAGUGACGGUACCUGCAGAAAAAGCGCCGGCUAACUACGUGCCAGCAGCCGCGGUAAUACGUAGGGCGCAAGCGUUAUCCGGAAUUAUUGGGCGUAAAGAGCUCGUAGGCGGUCUGUCGCGUCUGCUGUGAAAACCCGAGGCUCAACCUCGGGCCUGCAGUGGGUACGGGCAGACUAGAGUGCGGUAGGGGAGAUUGGAAUUCCUGGUGUAGCGGUGGAAUGCGCAGAUAUCAGGAGGAACACCGAUGGCGAAGGCAGAUCUCUGGGCCGUAACUGACGCUGAGGAGCGAAAGGGUGGGGAGCAAACAGGCUUAGAUACCCUGGUAGUCCACCCCGUAAACGUUGGGAACUAGUUGUGGGGUCCAUUCCACGGAUUCCGUGACGCAGCUAACGCAUUAAGUUCCCCGCCUGGGGAGUACGGCCGCAAGGCUAAACUCAAAGGAAUUGACGGGGACCCGCACAGCGCGAGCAU
rnacentral:rRNA from 1 species